rnacentral:rRNA from 1 species
GACGAACGCUGGCGGCGUGCUUAACACAUGCCAGUCGAACGGAAAGGCCCCUUUGGGGGUACUCGAGUGGCGAACGGGUGAGUAACACGUGAGUAACCUGCCCUUGACUUCGGGAUAACUUCAGGAAACUGGGGCUAAUACCGGAUAGGAAUCCUUGCUGCAUGGUGGGGGUUGGAAAGCUUCGGCGGUUUUGGAUGGACUCGCGGCUUAUCAGCUUGUUGGUGGGGUAGUGGCUUACCAAGGCUUUGACGGGUAGCCGGCCUGAGAGGGCGACCGGCCAUAUUGGGACUGAGAUACGGCCCAGACGCCUACGGGAGGCAGCAGUGGGGAAUAUUGCACAAUGGGCGGAAGCCUGAUGCAGCAACGCCGCGUGCGGGAUGACGGCCUUCGGGUUGUAAACCGCGUUCAGCAGGGGCGAAGCUUGUGGUGACGGUACCUGCAGAAGAAGCACCGGCUAACUACGUG